GAUGAAGAACGUAGCAAAAUGCGAUAAGUAAUGUGAAUUGCAGAAUUCAGUGAAUCAUCGAGUCUUUGAACGCACAUUGCGCCCUCUGGUAUUCCGGAGGGCAUGCCUGUCCGAGCGUCAUUGCUGCCCUCAAGCACGGCUUGUGUGUUGGGCUCCGUCCCCCGAUCCCGGGGGACGGGCCCGAAAGGCAGCGGCGGCACCGCGUCCGGUCCUCGAGCGUAUGGGGCUUUGUCACCCGCUCUGUAGGCCCGGCCGGCGCUUGCCGAUCAACCAAAUUUUUAUCCAGGUUGACCUCGGAUCAGGUAGGGAUACCCGCUGAACUUAAGCAUAUCAAUAAGCGGAGGA
rnacentral:misc_RNA from 1 species